AUACUUACCUGGCAGGGGAGAUACCAUGAUCAUGAAGGUGGUUUUCCCAGAGCGAGGUUUAUCCAUUGCACUCUGGAUGUGCUGACCUCUGUGAUUUCUCCAAAUGUGGGAAACUCAAUUGCAUAAUUUGUGGUAGUGAGGGAUUACCUUCGUGCUUUCUCCUG
rnacentral:snRNA from 1 species